rnacentral:hammerhead_ribozyme from 1 species
GCACUGCUGAAGAGUCCCAUGCUAAGACGAAACGGCCGUCCAAUGC